GAAAUUGUGACCAUUGGAAUUUUCUCCUCUUUUCUUCAACGUGAACGGCGGCGGUGAUUCUCCUCUCCGGCGGAACCUCUCCGGUGCUUCUCUCCUCUGAUUUCUCUUCCAAAAGCUCUCGGUUCAUACAUCUCUCGUCUCAAUCUCGAACUCUCUCGCCUCUCGCGCUCAUCUCUUCCUCGGAUUCCCUCGGUCAGAGCUACUCCGACGGCGCUUCAACGAUCUCACUUGAAACUUAGAUCCGAUGUUGCCGUGAAUUCCUAUCGAGAUGAUGUUCUGUGUCGAAGCUUGUGAAGAGUAACGUGCAGAUGUUCUUAUUGUUCCCGAUGCGAAGAUGAAGGUGAAGGUAGAGAAGUGACGAAGGUGAUGAUGAACGGUGAUUGGUGAUGAUUAUGAUGUUGCGAUGUGCUGCAGAGAUGGGCUCAGUCUUGCGGUGAGAAGAUGAAGAUGUGAGAUGAAGAAGAAUCUUCCGUGGUGAAUCGGUGGUGAGAUUGAAGAAGAGCGGAUGAAGGUUCGAUCCAUAGCUCAAGAAACAGAGGUUCUGAAUUGGUUUUUGUUCUGUUGAAGAUUGAAGAUUAUGAAUGGUGAAGAUUGAUGAGAGAUGAGAAUUGGUGAAAAAGUUUGUUAGAAGUUUGUUACAGAAUCGGUUCUGAUUUUUUUGUCCAAUUUUCUGUUACGUUUUUCUGUGAACUUUGGUGUGGUCAAGAAAAUGAAGAAGGUUUUUGCUUCAAGGUCCUUGAAUCCGAGAGAUUGGUGAAGAGAUAAUGAAAGUUUAUUACGAUUCCAUCUUGAAUUCUGUUAUCGAUCUCUCCCUUCUUUUUUGUUAUCGAUUUUUCUUCUUCUCAAAUUCUGUUAGCACUGAAUUCCCUUCCCAAUGUUGCUGAACCGGUUUUUGUCCAUGAGUGCAGGGCUGAGGUUCGGUUUAUUGUCGGUCUUUUUUCUGGAUUUGCGUAGCAGCUUAAUUAUGGUUGGACCAGUUUCGGAUUGCUACCGGUUUUCAUUUGGUUUAGAGUGAAGUUGCAGGUGGGAACCGAGAGGAACUCCUAUGGAAUUCAUUAUUUUGAAUGGAUUGUUGCUUUGAUGAGAGUAAUGGUUUUGAACCGGUUUUAUCAGAUUUUGUGGCAUGAAGUCGUAGGUUAAGGCUUAGCAUAAACUUUUCAAUCUUUUCUUGUAUGGCUUUUUUGUAAUGGGCUUCGAAUUGUAAUGGAUAUUUGAAUUUGUGAAUGAACUUGAAUGAUAUUUCUUUUGUAUUUUUGAAUGAA